GGCUCUGCCACGAGCUUCCCCAGCCACAGACGCCGGCUGCUGCUGCUGCUCCUCCCGCUGGGGACCCCGAGUGGGGUCCUGGGGCUCCCCAGCCCCGGUGGCACUGGGUCCCUGGGGUCCCCGGGGUCCAGGGACCGGAGGGUUCUGCUGUUGCCCUCAUCUGCUUAACGAGGGGUGGGGGAAGUGAUUGGGUAAUUAGAGCCCAGAGAUAACCCUGGUCUGCGAAGCCUCCAGCUCCCCUCAGGAGGGGUUUGUGGUGCUGCUUGCCCAGCUCCUGCUGCAGCAGGGACCUCGCUUCUGCCCUGGGACUGGAUCUCCUCAGGAUCUCCUCGCCUGGUGCCUCCAGCACACUGUGUCGCUGCGUGGGAUCCCCCAGGACGUGAGGCAGGUGCCCUGCUGCAGGGGAGCCUGUGAAAGCUGAGCCCCGCGAGGCUGCCUGUGCCCGGCUCCGUGGGGCAGCUGGGUGAGACAAAAGCUUGGUUUCCUGAUGGCAGAGCGGCUCCUCUCGCAGUGAGAGGGGUUUCAGAAGUGAUAAGACAGCACCUGUGUGACGGUUUGAAUAUCAGAUGCUCUGCUCCCUCAGAAAGGCCACUGCUGGCAGCGCUCGUGGGUCUCCUGUCCCAGAUCUUGCAGAGUUGGGAUUUCCUCCUCUCGCUUCAGUUCCCAAAACACAGCUCUGUUAAUGAAGGCUGAAAUUCCCCCAGGCAAACGUUCUUGGUCCCUGGACCUCCUGAGAAAGGCUUGGAAACACCUCUGGCAGCUCCGAAGGCUGAGGCAAACGCAGGCAGAGGUUACAGUGAAGCACGCUGCGGUCUCUAGGCCGUGAGAGGGCCUCGCUCACUGGGCUGCAGACAAUGAGCUGGCAAGCCUGAACUUCAUGCCUCUUAUUCUGGGGCUGCUGGGUGGCUUUUCUCUGACUUCUUUGUUGCUCUGGAUGAUUUUUAAGGGCUCUUUUAGCUUGAGAGCAGAGGCACUGACUUGUUCCUAAGUGACUGGAGUGAGGCUUGCAGCAGGUACCGCUCUGUGUGGCAGCAGCGUGGUAAAAACACACCCGGCACAGGCACCAGCACCUCCCCGGCUCCCUCGGGGCUGGCUGAGGUCCUGCAGAUGCCUCACUCGGUGGCCAGAUCCCCGGAGGGGUGGCUGGGCCUGCUCCAGCCUCUGCUGCUGCCCUCGGUGUUCUGCUCUUCCCUGAAGGCCUCAGGAGGACUGCGUGGCGCUGGGGACAGCAGGGACACCGUGGAGCAAAGCGGGUGGCAGGGCCCGA